CGCCUAACACAUGCAAGUCGCACGAGAAAGGGAGCAAUCCCCGGUACAGUGGCGCACGGGUGAGUAACACGUAGAUGACCUUCCCUGGAGUGGUGGAUAACCUGCCGAAAGGCGGGCUAAUACAGCAUGGGACCACAUGGUUUUGACCGAGUGGUGAAAGCGGGCCUCUGUUCACAAGCUCGCGCUCUGGGAUGGGUCUGCGUCCCAUCAGCUAGUUGGCGAGGUAACGGCUCACCAAGGCGAAGACGGGUAGCUGGUCUGAGAGGAUGAUCAGCCACACUGGAACUGAGACACGGUCCAGACUCCUACGGGAGGCAGCAGUGGGGAAUAUUGCGCAAUGGGCGAAAGCCUGACGCAGCCACGCCGCGUGAGCGAUGAAGGCCUUCGGGUCGUAAAGCUCUGUGGGGAGAGAAGAAUAAAGCCUGUGAAGAGCAGGCCUUGACGGUAUCUCCUUAGCAAGCACCGGCUAACUCCGUG
rnacentral:rRNA from 1 species